UACGGAGGGGACUAGCGUUGUUCGGAAUUACUGGGCGUAAAGCGCACGUAGGCGGAUUUGUAAGUCAGGGGUGAAAUCCCGGGGCUCAACCUCGGAACUGCCUUUGAUACUGCAAAUCUCGAGUCCGGAAGAGGUGAGUGGAAUUCCUAGUGUAGAGGUGAAAUUCGUAGAUAUUAGGAAGAACACCAGUGGCGAAGGCGGCUCACUGGACCGGAACUGACGCUGAGGCGCGAAAGCGUGGGGAGCAAACAGG
rnacentral:rRNA from 1 species